UACGGGGGGAGCAAGCGUUGUUCGGAUUUACUGGGCGUAAAGGGCGCGUAGGCGGCACCGCAAGUCGACUGUGAAAUCUCCGGGCUUAACUCGGAAAGGUCAGCCGAUACUGCGGGGCUAGAGUGCAGAAGGGGCAACUGGAAUUCUCGGUGUAGCGGUGAAAUGCGUAGAUAUCGGGAGGAACAUCGGUGGCGAAGGCGGCGUCCUGGACCAACACUGACACUGAUGAGCGAAAGCCAGGGGAGCAAACGGG
rnacentral:rRNA from 1 species